GACGAACGCUGGCGGCGUGCUUAGCACAUGCAAGUCGAACGGAAAGGCCUGUCCUUCCUUGUGUUGGACGGGUACUCGAGUGGCGAACGGGUGAGUAACACGUGAGUGAUCUGCCCCCAACUUGGGUAUAAGCCUGGGAAACUGGGUCUAAUUCCCGAUAGGACUGCAGGGUGGUGCCUGUGGUGGAAAACGAUUUUCUAGUGGUUGGGGAUGAGCUCGCGGCCUAUCAGCUUGUUGGUGGGGUAAUGGCCUACCAAGGCGGCGACGGGUAGCCGGCCUGGGAGGGUGGACGGCCACAUUGGGACUGAGAUACGGCCCAGACUCCUACGGGAGGCAGCAGUGGGGAAUAUUGCACAAUGGGCGGAAGCCUGAUGCAGCGACGCCGCGUGGGGGAUGACGGCCUUCGGGUGGUAAACUCCUUUCGACCGCGAGGAAGCCGCCUGGUUGGAAGGGUGGUGACGGUAGUGGUAGAAGAAGCACCGGCUAACUACGUG
rnacentral:rRNA from 1 species